GAGCACCAGCUCAACCUCAGGGCCAUGUUAUUCCUCAAGGCCAGGAAGUAUAUGGCCAGUACAGAUGCUCUGACAUGAGAAUUACAGCAGGAGCAGGUGGACCACAGAGCCCAUACAGACACGACCUGAUGAUGAAGAAACGAAGACUGGACAUGUAAUGAAUUUAAUUAUUGUUUUCUUUUAGAAAAUCUUUUAUCUAGAUUUGAUUUAUAUUCAUUUGUUAAUAUGAGAAGCUAAUAAAAGUUUGUGUUUGUCUUAGACGUUUUUGAUUUAACCUCCUAAUUUGUAAUAUAAAUCAAAACAUAAGCAGGACUGUUUUUUAAAUUUUAUUUCUCAUUUUUGGAGAAUAAAAGUCUGUGGAA